rnacentral:rRNA from 1 species
AUACGUAGGGGGCGAGCGUUGUCCGGAAUUACUGGGCGUAAAGAGCACGUAGGCGGCUAAUCAAGUCAGAUGUGAAAAACCAGGGCUCAACCGUGGGAAUGCAACUGAAACUGAAUAGCUUGAGUUAAGGAGAGGAGAGCGGAAUUCCUGGUGUAGCGGUGAAAUGCGUAGAUAUCAGGAGGAAUACCAGUGGCGAAGGCGGCUCUCUGGACUUGUACUGACGCUGAGGUGCGAAAGCGUGGGGAGCGAACAGGAUUAGAUACCCUGGUAGUCCACGCCGUAAACGAUGGAUACUAGGUGUGGGUGAGGAAUCAUCCGUGCCGGAGUUAACGCAAUAAGUAUCCCGCCUGGGGAGUACGGCCGCAAGGUUGAA